UGAUAAAGGUUUCAUGUAGCCUCAACCAAC
rnacentral:piRNA from 1 species